UACGUAUGGAGCAAGCGUUAUCCGGAUUUACUGGGUGUAAAGGGAGCGUAGGCGGUAAGGCAAGUCUGAUGUGAAAGGCCAGGGCUCAACCCUGGGACUGCAUUGGAAACUGUUUAACUGGAGUGUCGGAGAGGCAAGCGGAAUUCCUAGUGUAGCGGUGAAAUGCGUAGAUAUUAGGAGGAACACCAGUGGCGAAGGCGGCUUACUGGACUGUAACUGACGUUGAGGCACGAAAGUGCGGGUAUCGAACAGG
rnacentral:rRNA from 1 species